AACGUAGGAGGCGAGCGUUAUUCGGAUUUACUGGGCGUAAAGCGCGUGCAGGCGGCUUCGUAAGUCGGACGUUAAAUCUCCUGGCUCAACUGGGAGGGGUCGUUCGAAACUGCGGGGCUUGAGGUCGGGAGAGGGAAGUGGAAUUCCCGGUGUAGUGGUGGAAUGCGUAGAUAUCGGGAGGAACACCAGUGGCGAAGGCGGCUUCCUGGCCCGCACCUGACGCUAAGACGCGAAAGCGUGGGGAGCGAACGGGAUUAGAUACCCCCGUAGUCC
rnacentral:rRNA from 1 species